rnacentral:rRNA from 1 species
AUGCAAGUCGAACGUGAAAGCACUUCGGUGUGAGUAGAGUGGCGGACGGGUGAGUAACGCGUGGGAAUCUACCCAGUAGUGGGGGACAACUACCGGAAACGGUAGCUAAUACCGCAUACGCCCUAUGGGGGAAAGGCUUCGGCCGCUAUUGGAUGAGCCCGCGUCAGAUUAGCUUGUUGGUAGGGUAAAGGCCUACCAAGGCAACGAUCUGUAGCUGGUCUGAGAGGACGAACAGCCACACUGGGACUGAGACACGGCCCAGACUCCUACGGGAGGCAGCAGUGGGGAAUAUUGGACAAUGGGCGAAAGCCUGAUCCAGCAAUGCCGCGUGUGUGAAGAAGGCCUGCGGGUUGUAAAGCACUUUCAGUUGGGAAGAUGAUGACGUUACCAACAGAAGAAGCACCGGCUAAAUCCGUGCCAGCAGCCGCGGUAAUACGGAUGGUGCGAGCGUUAAUCGGAAUUACUGGGCGUAAAGCGCGCGUAGGCGGCUAAGUCAGUCAGAAGUGAAAGCCCCGGGCUCAACCUGGGAAUUGCUUUUGAUACUGCUUAGCUAGAGUUUGGUAGAGGAUAGUGGAAUUCCAGGUGUAGCGGUGAAAUGCGUAGAUAUCUGGAGGAACAUCAGUGGCGAAGGCGACUGUCUGGACCAAAACUGACGCUGAGGUGCGAAAGCGUGGGUAGCAAACAGGAUUAGAUACCCUGGUAGUCCACGCCGUAAACGAUGUCAACUAGCCGUCGGGUCUAUUUACAGACUUGGUGGCGAAGCUAACGCGAUAAGUUGACCGCCUGGGGAGUACGGCCGCAAGGUU